CCAACAGGUGGUUCUUCAGCCCAGGUUUGUUACAUGGGUAGAUUUUGGAAGGCUGAGGCUUGGUGUCCCAAUGAUCUCAUCACUCAAACAGUAAGCAUGGUACCCAACAGGUGGUUUUUCAGCCCAGGUGCCCCUCCUGUCUCACCUGUCUAGUAAUCUCCAGUGCCUCUGGUUCAUGUGAAUUCAAUGUGUAGCUGCCACUUUCCAAUGGGAACAUGCAGUAUGUAGUUUUCUGUUCUUGCAUUAGGUUGCUUAGGAUAAUAGCCUCUAGUUCCAUCCAUGUUGCUGAAAAGGACAUGAUUUUGCUGUGUUUGGUGGCUGCAUAGAUUUCCAUGGUGUUUAUGUACCACAUUUUUUUCAUUCAAUUCAGUGUUGCUGGGCACUUAGGUUGAUUCUGUGUCCUUGCUAGUAAGAAUAGCACUGUAAUGAACAUAUUGGUGCAGGUGUCUUUUGGAUAAAAUGAAUUCUUUUCCUGUGGAUAUAUCCCGAGUAGUGGGAUUGCAGGCUUGAAUGGUAGUUCUAUUUUAAGUUCUUGGAGAAAUCUCCAAACUGCUUUCCAUAGCGGCUGAACAAGUUUGCUUUCCCACCAACAGUGUCUGUUUCUUUUCCUCUGCAGCCUCACCACCAUCUCCAACUUUGUGACUGGUAAGAGAUGGUAACUCAUUGCAGUUUUGAUUUGCACUUAUCUGAUGAUUAGUGAUAUUGAGCAUUUUUUCACGUUUGUUGGCCACUUGUAUGUCUUCUUUUGAAAAGUGUCUGUUCAUGUCUUUGCACAUUUUUUAAUUGGGUUUUUUUUUCUUGCUUGUCUAAUUGUUUAAGUACUUUGUAGAUUCUGGAUAUUGGACCUUUGUCAGAUGCAGAGUUUGCAAAUAGUUUCCCCAUUCUACACGCUGUCUGUUUACCGUGUUGCUAGUUUCUUUUUCUGUGCAGAAGCUCUUUAGUUUAAUGAGGUCCCAUUUGUCAAUUUUUGUUUUUGUUACAAUUGUUUUUAGUGUCUUCUUCAUGAAAUCUUUGCCAGGCCCUAUGUCCACAUUGGUAUUUCUUAGCUUAUAUUCCAGGAUUUUCACAGUUUUAUUACCUGCGCAACAUAGGAAGACCCAAUCUCUACCUAAAUAUAAAACAAUUUGCCAGGCAUGGUGGCAUGCGCCUGUAGUCCCAGCUACUCUAGAGGCUGAGUCUAGAGGAUCACUUGAGCCCAGGAGUUGGAGAUUACAGUGAGUGAUGACUAUGCCACUUCACUCCAAUAUGGUUGACAGAAUGAGAAAAUGUAAAAAAACUAUAAUGAUAAAAAGGAUUAAUACAAUUCUUGGUCAGUGCAUGGAAAGGAUCCCUGAGGUCUGAAGUCCUGCAUGCUAUUUUACUAGCAAUACCGUUUCGAAGAAUAAGGUCAUGCUUCAGAGAAAUGUCUGCUUUUCCACAAUCAAAGAAGUAGAAAGAAAAUGCCUUUUGCUGGGAUUUCUUGUUCAGUUAAAACUUGUGCAGGAAUUCCAUCCAUUAGCACCGAGAGAAAGUGGCAGAAGGUGUUAAGAAAAAUGGCUGGCCGGGCGCGGUGGCUCACGCCUGUAAUCCCAGCACUCUGGGAGGCCGAGGCAGGUGGAUCAUGAGGUCAGGAGAUCGAGACCAUCCUGGCUAACAAGGUGAAACCCUGU
rnacentral:lncRNA from 10 species